UACGUAGGGGGGCAAGCGUUGUCCGGAAUCAUUGGGCGUAAAGAGCGCGUAGGCGGCCCUGUAAGUCCGCUGUGAAAGUCAAGGGCUCAACCCUUGAAUGCCGGUGGAUAUGCAGGGCUAGAGUCCGGAAGAGGCGAGUGGAAUUCCUGGUGUAGCGGUGAAAUGCGCAGAUAUCAGGAGGAACACCGAUGGCGAAGGCAGCUCGCUGGGACGGUACUGACGCUGAGGUGCGAAAGCGUGGGGAGCGAACAGG
rnacentral:rRNA from 1 species